rnacentral:tRNA from 1 species
GACGAUAUCUUGUUUACAGAGAAGCGGUUUUGUAAACCGAAGGUCGGGGGUUCAAUCCCCUCAGCCGGCACCA